rnacentral:lncRNA from 1 species
GUGAGUUUGGGAAUGGCCAGUCAGAAGCUCAGGACUACAGAAGCUACCCUCAGAGAAACCUGAAAGGGAGCUGGCUCUGCAGCUUGGUCUGCGUGUUUAUUUGCCAUCCGUGAUUCACUGUGGCCUGGUGAAGACUCAGCAACGGGCACUUUCACUGGCUGUCCUCUGCUCUCUGUGGCAUGCGAUGGGGAAACCUUUUCCCAGGGGCGUUUUAUCUUAGGAGAACAACUUCAAAAACACAUGUAAAAGGGAAAAAUGUUGUUUAGCAUCUUGCUGUGGUAAAAAUGAUAACUUAUAUAGAGAAUAUCUAUUUUGGGACUGAUGUAGCAAAAAAUCGUUUUCUAAGCCCCUCCCAACAUGUAAAAAGAAGGGAGAAAAGGCCACAGUGGGAGCAGCCUCCUGAGCCCCCUCUGUAAUUAACUCUGACAGCUACUGAUUCUCAUGCUAAAAUGAGGGGUGGAUGGGUGAGUGCUGGGGUGUGAGCUGGAGCCUGAGGGGAGGCUCUGGACCUGCCUUCUGCAGCAUCCUGUGGCUCCAUACUUUGCAUUGGAUAAGCCUUUCAUUGGCUAUCUGCCUAAGGGUCAAAAUCUCGCCUUGGGUCUCUGCUACGUGAUACGCAUUUGGGUGUCUGGACAGAAGUGGAUGCCAGACUUGUCCAUGCAGAAAACUGCCUCCAAUUAAUAUCUGCCUGUUUGACGGUACAGUUCGGUCUGUUCCACGCAGGAGCCCGGCAUGUGCCAUGUAAGUGGGAUGGGGAAGUGUCGGCUGCUACUGGCAUUUCAUUCCAGGUCAUCAGAUGGGUUCUAUUUUCAGGGCCCAUCUAUCACCCCAUCUUGCAGUGUGGAGCCUCGAGUUCUCCAAAUGUCCAGAUCGCAGCUGUCACUGAGCAGUUGCAUCUGUUACACAGUAAAGGAGUCCUAGAGAAGUGCUGCCAAGGGGAACUCAUAAAAAAGCCGCUGCUGGAGACUCAGAUGUGCCCUGCUGAGCGAGGCAGUCUCCUCCUACUUACCGUGCUGCAGUGAGCCGCAGUCACCCGCGGGGGAGUUGAAGAAUAAGUUGAAUAUGGUUGAACACGGUGGCAUCAUACUGCUCAGCCAUCUCUGGGGUUAACUGCAGAUGAGAUAAUUCCUGUAUAACUCCUGGAUCCUCUAGGGCAUUCUGCCACUGUAUCCACACUUCAUGGUACAAGGGCGAAUGGACAGAUCUCCAGCUUCCAAGUGAAACGUGAAGGCGACUCGACAAGGAUUUCUGUUAGGACAAUAGUUUUGCUUCAUGAAGACCAGGAAGGCUUGAACUCAGGACAAUGGGUAUCUUGAAUUUACUCAGUUCCCAUCUCUUAAGUUAUUAAACAUUAUUUCCCACCUGUCUUGUGUAUUUUUGCUUGAUCCCUAUAAUAUGGGGGCAGGCAUAAUUUUGUAUAACCCCUGUAAGACGUGUGCCAGGUACAAUUGGCCCUAUUUCCUAUGUGGGGAAACUGAGACUCAGAGCAGAGAAGCGACUCUCCUAAGUCACACGUUGUAUUGCUGGCAGAGUCUCGGGCAGGAGUCGUGCCUCCUGAUUUCCAGGUACAUGCUGCUUUUGCUAGAACCAAUCUAUUAAAGAACCAAGACUCUUUUAUUUGGAAUUAAUGAGGGAUUCCAAAAAUAGUGUUAGCAGUGCUUAACAAAUUUGAAAGAGCAAAGGAACUGAAGCCAGAGAAGACUGAGAUAGGGGAGCUGUUUCAUUGUAUCAAUUUCUAUUCACUUUGUUAAUAAUUGAUGCCACAUUUACUCAUUGUUAUAUAUUAAAAAUACUUGAUUUGCUACAAGGUAAAAAUGACCCAUUGACUUUGUCUCUCAACCUACGCUAACCCUAAAUGAGAAUCUCAUUGUGACCACGAUUUUGCAAAAUUGAUUAAAUGGAAAUAAAUGCAUUCAAGUGUCAAAGGCUGCAUUGGGAAUGGUUGCUAAUGAGCUUGACCUUUCAGAGCUUCCUGGCUGGGUGCACAGUAGGUGUUCAAUGAGUACUGAUGGAUGUCUUGACUGACUGAGAUUUCGGUUAGCCUUCCAUCCCCGGGAGCAUGGUGCCUCUAAUGUGUUAGAUGGCAUCAUGUUCCAAAAAUGAAUCGAUCUAUAAAUUUGAAGACUAAUUUGGAAACAUUUUAACCUUACUAAACAGAAUAGUAUGAUAAAACCUAGGUACCCUACGCCAGCUUCAAAUCAAUAUUCUGCUGUUUUUGUUUACUUCCCUUAACACACAUCACUGCCUCCCCACCCCCAACACACACACACUUUUUUGUUUUUGAGACAGAGUCUCGCUCUGUCACCGAGGCUGGGGUGUAGUGGCGCCAUCUCGGCUCACUGCAAGCUCCGCCUCCUGGGUUCAUGCCAUUCUCCUGUCUCGGCCUCCCAGUCUCCAGAGUAGCUGGGACUUCAGGUGUCCACUUUUUUUUUUUUUUUUUGGCUGAAGUACCAUAAAGGAAAUUUCAAACAUUGUGUCAUUCACCUGUGAAUAAAUCUGUAUGUACCUCCAAUAGAUAGACUAAAAAAACCACAACCUUAUCACCACAACACAAUUAGCCAUUGUUUCUUAAUAUCAUAGGAGGCCUCUUCCAUGCUGAAUGCUCCAU